CAACCCUCAAGCUCAGCUUGGUAUUGGGUGUCACCUGGCAAUGGUGUACCUUAAAAUCAGUGGCGGUGCCGUCUGGCUUCAAGCGUAGUAAUUCUCUCGCUUUGGAGGCUUAGGUGUGUGCUUGCCAUCAACCUCUAAUUUUUCAAA
rnacentral:misc_RNA from 1 species